CAGUGCUGAACAUUUCAGAUGUCCUUAGCAGUGAUGCCGUGGCUGUGGUGAGUCUCUUGGGAUCCCCAUUUGUUCAUCAUCUCCUGAUGCUGAGCCACCCUGCACAGCUCAGUCUAUCUUACUGCACCCUCCUCAGCUCUGCAGGAUGAGGUCAUGAGUCUAGGCCAGAGGGUGGGCUGCUUAGCAGUGAUUGCAUUUGUUCCGAGAUUAUAGUUGCAGGAGGAUUAUGAAACCCUGUCCAUUUAAGUGCCUUUUCUGUGCCCUGCCCCCAGACAUUUGCUGACCAGACGUUUGGCAUGUUCAGCUGGACCAUCCCCAUUGCUGUUGCCCUGUCCUGCUUUGGGGGCCUCAAUGCAUCCAUCUUUGCUUCAUCAAGGUUGUUCUUCGUGGGCUCCCGGGAGGGCCACCUACCGGACCUU
rnacentral:sRNA from 1 species